GGUUGACCUCGGAUCAGGUAGGGAUACCCGCUGAACUUAAGCAUAUCAAUAAGCGGAGGAAAAGAAACCAACAGGGAUUGCCUCAGUAACGGCGAGUGAAGCGGCAAGAGCUCAAAUUUGAAAGCUGGCUCCUUCGGGGUCCGCAUUGUAAUUUGCAGAGGAUGCUUCGGGUGCGGCCCCUAUCUAAGUGCCCUGGAACGGGCCGUCGGAGAGGGUGAGAAUCCCGUCU
rnacentral:rRNA from 1 species